ensembl:lncRNA
CUUGGCCCAGGUCACCUUCUGUGCCAUCACUCCCAGAACACUAGCAUCCAUGCUUCUCCCCCUCAUAUAUGUGUGUAUGUGGGUAGGUAUAGAUAUAUAUUUUUAAGAUUCUUCUCCAUUAUAGUUGUUACAAGAUAUUGAAUAUAGUUUCCUGUGCUGUACAGUAAAUAUUGUUGUUUAUAUGUUUUAUGUAUAAUAGGGUAUAUCCGUUAAUCUCAGAUUCCUAAUUCAUCCCUCCUCCUUUGCUCCCUUUGGUAACCAUAAAUUUUUUUUUUUUUUAAUGUAUAUAGUGCCUCACUUUUAAAUACAAGCAGACAAUCAAGGGUCACCAGAUCUGUGAGAAAAUUGAAUAUGAAAGGCAGAGACCAAAAAGAAAGAAAUUUGGAAAAAAAGGGAAAAAAGUAUAGGCAACAGAAGAAAACUUAAAAAGCCCUCAGUAUCUCUGGAGAGAAAAGAAUCCCCAGAAUAUGAAGGACUAUCUGCAUUAGAAGCACUUGUUUUAGCGUCCCAGGAGUCUACAUUUCAAACAAGAGCCCCAGG